GUCCACACAGACGACUCCGACUAGAAGAACCAGCACCGGAGUGACUCACACUGAAAAUGGAGCUUCUCAAAAGAACAUUCCCAAGAGCAGUACAGAAGAUAUCUGGACUACAGACGUCGUAAUUAUUGUCUCUGUGCUGAUCGGAGUCGCUGUUGGAGUAGUUUUUGUAGCUCUGCUGCUGUGGAGACGUUUCUUCCGAAAGAAAACUGCUAAAGUCAGAAAGCCAGAUCAAGUCUAUGAAUCCAUAGGAGACGUUCCACCAGCUGCACAUGGAAAUCAGUAUGAAGCCAUUUACAUCCUGGCAGGAGACCCAGCUAUAGUCAAUAAGGGGAAAAAGACACACACUGAUGCUCCCUCAUGUUCAGAGACACAAUCACCUGAAAAUCCGGUCGAGUCGGUGUAUUCCACAAUACAUGAUGAAACACAGCAUGCUUAAUUCUCUCACAUCUCAGAGUAUUCACAUUAAAUAUACAACAUUUUCAACCAUUUGUCUUUAAAGUACUAUGGGACAAAGUUUAUCAUUUAUCAUCGUUGCCUCUGCCAGGAGGUUAUGACUUGACUGUAGACAGAUCUUUCAAUAAGAUCAUGGGAUUCAUUCGUUCAUACUUCAUUAUUUUGUUUAAUUUUCAUUUUGUAGCAUAAUGUACGUUUUCGAAUUUCUAUAUUUUAUAUAUUGUAUGUAUUUCAUAAAUUUAAAAGUAUACACUUUAUGUUGUUUAUCUCU